rnacentral:lncRNA from 1 species
CUCCCUUUUGAACUUACUAAGAAUGCCUUUGUUCACUUUCAUGUCCGAAGAUGGAGAUCUCGUUAAUGAAUGCUAGAAAUAAGCCCUAUAUUAUGCAAAAAUCCCCUCACGCCAACGCUGUACACCCAUGCAUAUGUUUAGCUCUUGGUGUUGGUGGUUUCUAAGCUCCCUUGGCCUUAGUUAGCCUCUCUGUCUUGUACUUGACCUAUGCUAUGCCCUCCAUGUCCACCUUCGUUAGCCUCUCUGUCUUGUACUUGACCUAUGCCCUCCAUGUCAACCAGUCUCUUCAUUCAGUAGAUUAUAUCGUGUAACCCGUAUUUCCAUUUCAAUAGGAAUCCAGUGCCUUCGGGCCGAGCAAAGAGAAAGAACCACUUUCACCCAUUUUGACAUAGGAUUCGCCCUCCACUUCUGUGCCAAAAAGUUGUAUAACUACAAUGGCUCCUCCCGUGAUAGGAUCAUUCUGGAAGAGGGGUAACCACCGUUGGGCUAUGUUCUCAAAUUCGAGCAGGUAAGAAUGCAGCUUCGGAAUCCUUAAAUUGAGCAAGCGGCUGGCUAACACUGUGUUGAAGUAACCUAAGAUGAUCUGAUCCAAGGGGUGUCCAAGAGUUUUCAAGAAAGAAGUCAUAUCCGCCAAAACUAAGUCCAUUCCUGUAAUUAUAGCUAUUCGAAGCAUAAAUGAAAGAGAGCAAGCCACACCAACCCAAUCUAGUACUUGACUUUCUCUUUCUAAUUAUAAAGGGACCUACAAACAAAACCUAAACAUAAGAUUAGAUUCACUUAGCGAACCAUGAACCCGUACCCGUUGCUUUUCUGGGAAAAGAAUUAGACGGCCAACGAAAACUGUAAUUACGCAAAAAAAAGAGAUUCAGGCUUUGGUUUCCAGAUGGGGAUUAGCUUCCUAUUCGUGUUUGUUCUCCUCAUCCAUUAUUGGUUUACUUGCUUCCGUUCUUUCAAAGGACCUUUAAGACGUAAGUAUCCUUAACGAAAACGACGUAAUGAUACUAAGAGAAAACACCAAGGAGGGAAACUUUCUAACCCCAGAGGGUCCUGUGAAGUCUUUCUAUGAGUUCAACGGCACGACCGCUCUACCACUGAGCUACUGAGACUUCCUCUUAUCAAAAAAGAAUCGAAUGUAGAGAAUCCAGAAUGGAAUAUAGAUUGUAUGCGAGUAUCUUUAGCUGACUGCUUAGUUCGGUUUCUCUUAGACUGUGCGAGCUUCAAGAGCUUCUUGUUUAUAAUUGGAAAAGGUAUAGAAUAAGGGCGGGCACUAUUGGGACUUGUUUAUCCAAGGUGGUACCACUUCAAAGCCAAUCUUGUCAAGUCUUUCUUUCACACUGGGAUUAUUACUUUACUUGUCAAGUCUUUCUUUCACACUAGGAUUAUUACUUAAGGAAGUCUCACUGCUUUCAAUUCCACAUUCCUUUGUCAUUUUAGAGGAAGAGAACUACCCGUUAGUUGUUAUUAUGAGAUCAUGAUCAGACCUAGUCGACAUCUAACUAAUAUAUGAGAAAGAUUCUCAAUGAAUGACCAUACAUUCUGAACAUAACUAAGAAAGGGUGUAUAGGUAAUCAUCGACACAGGAAUGAAGAGAGGAUUCUCACUUGAGUAUUUUUGGACAUAGAAAAGACUCAUUGGCAAAGCACUCGAACAAAGCACUUUAUCCGCAAGGAGCUUUGAUUUUGACUCCACCGGGUUGAUAGAACGUUCAGAGGAAAGAGCUCACCGAAAGGUAGUCCCCUGAGUAUGAGCUUUUAUGAAAUAAGGCAAAUAAAUAAGGUAUUGUAUAAGGUUCGUUCAAACUAAAGGUAAAUCGACGACUUGGCUUUCCACUAUUUCCUGACCUACUGUGCACAUGAAUCAAAUAAUAUUAUAGAAGUUGUAUUCUCCAUAGAAGUUGUAUUAGAUAAGUCGUACUAUAAGUUGUAUUAGAUAAGUCGUACGCUUUCCUAGUUAAAGUAGCAAUUCCAGUCUCUGCUUCUUAGGACGAAAGCAAUCCCCGGUCAAUGAAUCCUUCGAAAAGGCUUGGUAUCAUUGCAUUAGCGCUUCCGUCUGCCAUUCUAGGUAAGCAAGUCGGAUGUCUCCUGGCCAGCCUCCCCUCCGUAGAUAAGCCACCCUCCUGCUGGCAUAAAAUAGAGGCGGAAGUUUCGAGCUAGGCUCCCUUUACGUACUAUUCAGUUGAUUUGGAUGCUCCAACAUCUGCCUUCUUGUGUUUUCAUUUUCUUGAGAAAAGAAGAAACUAGAAUCCUAGCCCCAACAUUUCUUAUUUAGCCCCGUUGAAGCGGAUUAGGGCAUUGAUGGAUCGUCUCACUUGCCUGCGAACAUGGAGAUCUUUGUCAAGCUCGACUCUUAAGCAUCAAGAUCGCGGAUCACUGCCAACGGAUCAUCAUAUAGCAUGAUUCAAACUAAAACCGCUUCACUAGUCUGCUGUAAAAACGAAUAUCCAUGCGUGACCUGAACGAGCUAUUGAAGGUCUGUUCCUAGCCCACUUCUCGGAGAGCUUAUACUGGAGUUUAUCACGUCGAAGGAGUUGCAGAUUACCUCUGGGCAUCCAAUGGUUAUAACAUAUGAAAAGAAAGAGAAAUACAUUUUUUGACUAGCCGCAGCUUGUCCCGUUGCUUGGCC